CAGGCUUAACACAUGCAAGUCGAGGGGCAGCAUGGUCUUAUCUUGCUAAGGCCGAUGGCGACCGGCGCACGGGUGAGUAACACGUAUCCAACCUGCCGUCUACUCUUGGACAGCCUUCUGAAAGGAAGAUUAAUACAAGAUGGCAUCAUGAGUCCGCAUGUUCACAUGAUUAAAGGUAUUCCGGUAGACGAUGGGGAUGCGCUCCAUUAGAUAGUAGGCGGGGUAACGGCCCACCUAGUCUUCGAUGGAUAGGGGUUCUGAGAGGAAGGUCCCCCACAUUGGAACUGAGACACGGUCCAAACUCCUACGGGAGGCAGCAGUGAGGAAUAUUGGUCAAUGGGCGAGAGCCUGAACCAGCCAAGUAGCGUGAAGGAUGACUGCCCUAUGGGUUGUAAACUUCUUUUAUAAAGGAAUAAAGUCGGGUAUGGAUACCCGUUUGCAUGUACUUUAUGAAUAAGGAUCGGCUAACUCCGUGCCAGCAGCCGCGGUAAUACGGAGGAUCCGAGCGUUAUCCGGAUUUAUUGGGUUUAAAGGGAGCGUAGAUGGAUGUUUAAGUCAGUUGUGAAAGUUUGCGGCUCAACCGUAAAAUUGCAGUUGAUACUGGAUAUCUUGAGUGCAGUUGAGGCAGGCGGAAUUCGUGGUGUAGCGGUGAAAUGCUUAGAUAUCACGAAGAACUCCGAUUGCGAAGGCAGCCUGCUAAGCUGCAACUGACAUUGAGGCUCGAAAGUGUGGGUAUCAAACAGGAUUAGAUACCCUGGUAGUCCACACGGUAAACGAUGAAUACUCGCUGUUUGCGAUAUACUGCAAGCGGCCAAGCGAAAGCGUUAAGUAUUCCACCUGGGGAGUACGCCGGCAACGGUGAAACUCAAAGGAAUUGACGGGGGCCCGCACAAGCGGAGGAACAUGUGGUUUAAUUCGAUGAUACGCGAGGAACCUUACCCGGGCUUAAAUUGCAGAUGAAUUACGGUGAAAGCCGUAAGCCGCAAGGCAUCUGUGAAGGUGCUGCAUGGUUGUCGUCAGCUCGUGCCGUGAGGUGUCGGCUUAAGUGCCAUAACGAGCGCAACCCUUGUUGUCAGUUACUAACAGGUUCCGCUGAGGACUCUGACAAGACUGCCAUCGUAAGAUGUGAGGAAGGUGGGGAUGACGUCAAAUCAGCACGGCCCUUACGUCCGGGGCUACACACGUGUUACAAUGGGGGGUACAGAGGGCCGCUACCACGCGAGUGGAUGCCAAUCCCCAAAACCUCUCUCAGUUCGGACUGGAGUCUGCAACCCGACUCCACGAAGCUGGAUUCGCUAGUAAUCGCGCAUCAGCCACGGCGCGGUGAAUACGUUCCCGGGCCUUGUACACACCGCCCGUCAAGCCAUGGGAGCCGGGGGUACCUGAAGUGCGUAACCGCGAGGAGCGCCCUAGGGUAAAACUGGUGACUGGGGCUA
rnacentral:rRNA from 1 species